rnacentral:lncRNA from 7 species
GCUAGGCGGCGAGCUAUGGUAGGACGGUGGUUCGACGGGCGCUAACGAAUUACGGUGGUGGUGCUCCCCAUGCUCCGAUCCAGGGUGCGCACCCAGCGGUGCCUCGGCAUAGAGCGCCGGAGCCGGUGCUUCUACCGCUGGGAAGGCAUAGCGAGACGAUGCAGCGCUGCAGCAGGAGGAGAAAACAGCGGUAAGAGCAACAAGGAGGGCAAGGCCCUUCAUGUUCGUGAUGCCCAUGCUUUGGUUU